rnacentral:rRNA from 1 species
UACGUAGGGGGCAAGCGUUGUUCGGAAUUACUGGGCGUAAAGCGCACGUAGGCGGAUACUUAAGUUAGGGGUGAAAUCCCGGGGCUCAACCCCGGAACUGCCUUUAAUACUGGGUAUCUCGAGUUCGAGAGAGGUGAGUGGAAUUCCGAGUGUAGAGGUGAAAUUCGUAGAUAUUCGGAGGAACACCAGUGGCGAAGGCGGCUCACUGGCUCGAUACUGGCGCUGAGGUGCGAAAGCGUGGGGAGCAAACAGG